AGUGAACGCUGGCGGUAGGCCUAACACAUGCAAGUCGAACGGCAGCACAGUAAGAGCUUGCUCUUACGGGUGGCGGGUGGCGGACGGGUGAGGAAUACAUCGGAAUCUACUUUUUCGUGGGGGAUAACGUAGGGAAACUUACGCUAAUACCGCAUACGCCCUACGGGUGAAAGCAGGGGAUCUUCGGACCUUGCGCGAUUGAAUGAGCCGAUGUCGGAUUAGCUAGUUGGCGGGGUAAAGGCCCACCAAGGCGACGAUCCGUAGCUGGUCUGAGAGGAUGAUCAGCCACACUGGAACUGAGACACGGUCCAGACUCCUACGGGAGGCAGCAGUGGGGAAUAUUGGACAAUGGGCGCAAGCCUGAUCCAGCCAUACCGCGUGGGUGAAGAAGGCCUUCGGGUUGUAAAGCCCUUUUGUUGGGAAAGAAAAGCAGCAGGUUAAUACCCCGCUGUUCUGACGGUACCCAAAGAAUAAGCACCGGCUAACUUCGUG
rnacentral:rRNA from 1 species